UACGGGGGGGGCAAGCGUUGUUCGGAAUUACUGGGCGUAAAGGGCUGGUAGGCGGCCAACUAAGUCGGAUGUGAAAUCCCCAGGCUUAACCUGGGAACUGCAUCCGAUACUGGUCGGCUUGAAUCCGGGAGAGGGAUGCAGAAUUCCAGGUGUAGCGGUGAAAUGCGUAGAUAUCUGGAGGAAUACCGGUGGCGAAGGCGGCAUUCUGGACCGGCAUUGACGCUGAACAGCGAAAGCUAGGGGAGCAAACGGG
rnacentral:rRNA from 1 species